rnacentral:misc_RNA from 1 species
CUGAGUCUAGGGUCCUUUGGGCCCGAACCUCCCAACCCUUUGUUUAUUGAACCUAUGUUGCUUCGGCGGGUCCGUCUUCUCACGAGGACCGCCGGAGGACCGCUGUCACAGGCGUCCUCUGGCCCGCACCCGCCGAUGGCCCAUUUCAAAACUCUUAUCUAAAUCGUGUCGUCUGUCUGAAUGUCAUCAAAAGCAAAUAAAUGCA